rnacentral:rRNA from 1 species
UAAGGAAUAUUGGACAAUGGUCGCAAGACUGAUCCAGCCAUGCCGCGUGCAGGAAGACGGCCCUAUGGGUUGUAAACUGCUUUUGUACCAGAGAAAACCUAUCUACGUGUAGAUAGCUGAUAGUAUGGUAAGAAUAAGCAUCGGCUAACUUCGUGCCAGCAGCCGCGGUAAGACGAAGGAUGCAAGCGCUAUCCGGAUUCAUUGGGUUUAAAGGGUGCGUAGGCGGGCUUGUAAGUCAGUGGUGAAAUCUCUCAGCUUAACUGAGAAACUGCCAUUGAUACUGCAGGCCUAGAGUAUAGAUGACGUUGGCGGAAUAUGACAUGUAGUGGUGAAAUACUUAGAUAAGUCAUAGAACACCGAUUGCGAAGGCAGCUAACGAAACUAUAACUGACGCUGAGGCACGAAAGUGCGGGGAUCAAACA